rnacentral:rRNA from 1 species
GAUGAACGCUAGCAGCAGGCUUAAUACAUGCAAGUCGAGGGGCAGCACAGGUAGCAAUACUGGGUGGCGACCGGCAAACGGGUGCGGAACACGUACACAACUUACCUUCUGGUGGGGGAUAGCCUUUGGAAACGGAGAUUAAUACCCCAUAUUAUAUAUGAGCUGCAUGGUUUGUAUAUUAAAGAUUUAUUGCCGGAAGAUGGGUGUGCGUAUGAUUAGGUAGUUGGCGGGGUAACGGCCCACCAAGCCGACGAUCAUUAACUGGUGUGAGAGCACGACCAGUCACACGGGCACUGAGACACGGGCCCGACUCCUACGGGAGGCAGCAGUAAGGAAUAUUGGUCAAUGGACGGAAGUCUGAACCAGCCAUGCCGCGUGGAGGAUGAAGGUCCUCUGGAUUGUAAACUUCUUUUAUAGGGGGCGAAAAAAGGGAAUUCUUUCUCGUCUGACGGUACCCUAUGAAUAAGCACCGGCUAACUCCGUGCCAGCAGCCGCCGCGGUAA